rnacentral:rRNA from 1 species
GGACUACAAGGGUAUCUAAUCCUGUUUGCUCCCCACGCUUUCGUGCAUGAGCGUCAGUGCUGGCCCAGGGGGCUGCCUUCGCCAUCGGUGUUCCUCCACAUCUCUACGCAUUUCACUGCUACACGUGGAAUUCCACCCCCCUCUGCCGCACUCCAGCUGUCCAGUCACAAACGCAGUUCCCAGGUUAAGCCCGGGGAUUUCACAUCUGUCUUAAACAACCGCCUGCGCACGCUUUACGCCCAGUAAUUCCGAUUAACGCUCGCACCCUACGUAUUACCGCGGCUGCUGGCAC